AUGGGCGAAAGCCUGACGCAGCGACGCCGCGUGGGGGAUGAAGCUUCUCGGAGUGUAAACCCCUUUCGACCCGGACGAAUGACCCGCAAGGGUUUGACGGUACGGGUAUAAGAAGCCCCGGCUAACUACGUGCCAGCAGCCGCGGUAAUACGUAGGGGGCCAGCGUUGCUCGGAAUUACUGGGCGUAAAGCGCGCGUAGGCGGUUUUGCAAGCCAGAGGUGAAAUGCCUGAGCUCAACUCGGGAAUGGCCUUUGGGACUGCGAGGCUUUGAGGACUGGAGAGGUGAGUGGAAUUCCCAGUGUAGAGGUGAAAUUCGUAGAUAUUGGGAAGAACACCGGUGGCGAAGGCGGCUCACUGGCCAGUUUCUGACGCUGUAGCGCGAAAGCGUGGGGAUCAAACAGGAUUAGAUACCCUGGUAGUCCACGCCGUAAACGAUGAGUGCUAGGCGUCGGCAUGCAUGCAUGUCGGUGCCGCAGCUAACGCGUGAAGCACUCCGCCUGGGGAGUAC
rnacentral:rRNA from 1 species